GAUGAACGCUGGCGGCGUGCCUAAUACAUGCAAGUCGAGCGAACAGACGAGGAGCUUGCUCCUCUGACGUUAGCGGCGGACGGGUGAGUAACACGUGGAUAACCUACCUAUAAGACUGGGAUAACUUCGGGAAACCGGAGCUAAUACCGGAUAAUAUAUUGAACCGCAUGGUUCAAUAGUGAAAGACGGUUUUGCUGUCACUUAUAGAUGGAUCCGCGCCGCAUUAGCUAGUUGGUAAGGUAACGGCUUACCAAGGCAACGAUGCGUAGCCGACCUGAGAGGGUGAUCGGCCACACUGGAACUGAGACACGGUCGAGACUCCUACGGGAGGCAGCAGUAGGGAAUCUUCCGCAAUGGGCGAAAGCUUGACGGAGCAACGCCGCGUGAGUGAUGAAGGUCUUCGGAUCGUAAAACUCUGUUAUUAGGGAAGAACAAAUGUGUAAGUAACUAUGCACGUCUUGACGGUACCUAAUCAGAAAGCCACGGCUAACUACGUG
rnacentral:rRNA from 1 species